rnacentral:lncRNA from 1 species
CAUUGACGUCACAAGCUGAGAUGGCAGUAAAGAAGGUGGCGUUGCUCCAUAUUGUUGUAAAAGACACGAUGCUUCAGGUUUCAUGCACUGACAUUUGCGUUUGUCUUCUAGUCUGAGUGCUUUCAUGUGGGUGUACAUCACUUUGUUCCACUUUAAUGAUAAAACACUGGGCUUAAUGUGACUGAUUCCAGACUGAACUCAUGAGACUCUUUGGAAAACUGCCACAUUCCACCCACUUGAUCAAACGUCUGUCCGUAAAUAAUGGCUGGAUGUGGGCGUAACAUUUUGGAACACGACUGUGUUUGUAAAUAAUAUCCCUCUCUCAUACUGUCAUUUCACUGGAAACACAGCUAUAUUUAGAGCAGUUGAAUAUCUACUUAUUGGUUUACUGCACUUAUGCCAGACCUUAAGUAUGACUCUUAGAAAACAACUUCAAAACACAAGUUCUUCAAAACAGCUUUUGCCCGGCAUACAGUAAAACGGGUAAAAAAAUAUACCAUUGAAGGAGAGAUCUAUCUCAGUCAAAGCUUGUGUUUCUGUGCAUGUUUUUCUCCUGCAGGUUCUUCUACUAGCAGCACGUCAAUUUCUUAUUUGAAGAGCACCAUUUUAUAUUCAGUAGCCUCCACAGCUCCUGCAACAUCCAUCAGUCCAAGUGAAGGACCUCAGGCACUGAGGUCUACUCCAGCCAGCAGCGUGAUCCAGACAACACAAACAGCUCCACCAUUCACCCCCACUUACCCACAGACGUCUCAGGUCAUUCUGACCAGCAGUUCAGUCAGUUCAAAGGUCACUGGACCUGCUCCUUUGGAAGACCAGGAUGAACCUUCUGAACUGGAUGUGGGGGAUCAAGAGUCAGGGAAGGUUCCCCACCGCCCUGCAUCACCCCUGGACCCCCUGCUCGCUGCUCUGGUCACCAUUUUCAUUAUUUGCACUGCCAUGGUCUCAGUCGUCCUCUUCCUCAGGUUCCGUCAACGGAGUGAGCAUCCAGAAUUCCACCGGCUUCAAGACCUCCCUAUGGAUGAUCUCCUUGAAGACACGCCAUUGUCAAGAUACACCUAUUAGCAAGAGUGAAUUCCACUAUUUCAUUAUCUGAUUCCUCAGGCAACCAGUGUUGUUAUUGCUGCAAAUCCCCUGAAAGAUGUCUUUCACAACUGAUUUCUGAUUCUGGGUUUUUCUGGGCUUUGAUGCUAAAAUGUGGUUGUGUAAUAUUGGAAUAGAAAAUGUAGUUAUUUUACUAAAUGAUGAAACCCAUUCAAAUAAAAUAAGGGUUCCAGAAAAUAUAAUACAAUAAGAUAAUCAGUCUUAUUCUAUGUUAAAAACUUCACAGUUUCUUAAUAAACAGGUGUUUAGAAUUUCAAGAAAACAGAACGUCUCGGUUACGUAUGGUAAUCCUCGUUCCCUGAAGGAGGGAACGGAGACGUGACGUCGAGAGUGACCGACUGAAAGGGAACCAAUAUACCCUUACCCUAUUUUAUUCACCUUAAGAUUCUCUACAAAUGUAGAGAAACUAUAACAAACAUUUUUUCUACAAACAUGACACAUUUUAGUAACUUAGAGAGUUUGCUGGAGAUAAUUCACUUGUUUUCCCCUUUAUUAGACACUAUAUUUAUACUUAAAAGGUUAGUUCACCCAAAAAUGAAAAUUAGCCCAUAAAUUACUCGCCCUCAAGUCAUCCUAGGUGUUUAUGACUUUCUUCUUUCAGAUGAAUCCAGUCGGAGUUAUAUUAAAAAUUGUAUUUGAUCUUUUAAGCUGUUUAAUGCCACUCAGCGGGUGUUGCAUGCAUCAGUCCAAAAGAAGUGAAAUAAAAUGCGCCCAUCCAUAAAAAAACCUAAUUCGUCAUCCGCCCGGAACUGCUUCCAGUGUACAACAGUGAGCGCAAGCUACAUUAAAGUGAUUAUUACGUUAUGAAUAUGGAUAUUUUUCUUACAAAAACGCAUCGAUUCACUGCAGAAGGCCUUUGUUCACCCCCCGGAGCCGUGUGAGACACAUUUUUUUAUGGAUGGGUGCAUUUUAAUUAAGUGCUUUUGGAAUGAUGCAUGCAAUACCCGCUGAGUGCCAUUAAACAGCUUGAAAGAUCAAAGACCAUUUUUUAUAUAACUCCGACUGGAUUCGUCUGAAAGAAGAAAGUCAUAAACACCUAGGAUGACUUGAGGGUGAGUAAUUUAUGGGCUAAUUUUCAUUUUUGGGUGAACUAACCCUUUAAGUAAUUGCUCAAUAUUAUGAUGCUAUAAUUUGGUUCAUCCUAAACCUAAACUCUGAGGUAUGGUCACAAUUACCGUUGUUUGGCAAAUUUUCACAGGCAAAUUCCAGUACUUUCAAAAGGAGGUAAAGGUCGAAAGAUAUUGCUCUUUCACAGUUCAAGUUGUUCACACAAAUGCACAGCUUUGACCAAAAUCACUUUGCUAUUGACAGUCCAGACAACAGAUUUGUUUUUUGUCCACAAAAUUUUGCUAAUAUGACUGCACCUUAACUUUUAUAUAAAGGUUUUAUUCUAAAGGUCUACAAUUUCUUGAAUCUAUACAAGCAAAUAGUACUGCACUUUUUUUUCCUUUUUCUUUUUAGGAGCUUCGGCUUAUUUUCCAAGAGAGUUUUUGGAAAAACAGUUCCCUGGGUUUAGCAUAAAUGUCUCUGGACUUUUGCACUGUUAGAGCUAUGAAGUUGUAGUAAGGAAAAUGUUCAUGUUUAUGUGACUGUUCUAGAAUGAGAACAAAUUUGGAUUAAACUGAAUUGUGAUUUUGAUAUUUAUGACAUUUAAGUUGAUUGUCCAGAUCGAUAAUGAAGGUGUGUGAAAUAAUUUGAAAUGUAUUUUAGCAUAUUCACUUCUGUCUACGCUGGUAUUUGUGGUAAACCUAGUGCCUAAUGUAUUUUGUGCCAAAACUGAUUAGCGGUAAACAAACUGAUAAAUAUAUAUUGCACAGUUGUGUUGUUGAGAUGAACCUGU